UGGGGAAUAUUGGACAAUGGGCGCAAGCCUGAUCCAGCCAUACCGCGUGGGUGAAGAAGGCCUUCGGGUUGUAAAGCCCUUUUGUUGGGAAAGAAAUCCUGUCGAUUAAUACUUGGCGGGGAUGACGGUACCCAAAGAAUAAGCACCGGCUAACUUCGUGCCAGCAGCCGCGGUAAUACGAAGGGUGCAAGCGUUACUCGGAAUUACUGGGCGUAAAGCGUGCGUAGGUGGUGGUUUAAG
rnacentral:rRNA from 1 species